UGGAGGACCUGUAGAGAAAGUAGAGCAGGAGUUAGGGGCAUGACUGUUGCUUCUGGUCCUGUUCCUCAAACCACCUCCUUCCCUAACACAAUGCACUGAUCAGAAUUCCCAACAAACACAAAACACAGAGUAAGUGACAGGAAGGAGACGAACAUUUGGAACUUGCCCGGAGAGCAGGCGAACUUUACUGGAUCCCGAACGAUCCUCUACCCCCUCCCUCCCUCCACCUCGGCACAAAAGUGGCGUAAGCUCCUCCUCUUGUGUUCUUCUGGAGCGAGAUCGAUUUCAUACCAAAUCUCAUUGUUGAAAUUCCACCUCCGCUGUCAACUUCGGGAAAUAUUUGUUUAAAAAAAAAUCACCUCGAGACGAGUUUUUGGUUGAUUUUAAAGAAAACAAACGAAGCGAUUUUUAAGAAGUGGGGGAAAACUUUUCAGCUCUAUAUCUCCCCCCCCCCCCCCCCAAACCAACUCCGUUUAUGUAACACGGACACUUUCUAAGAGAGAGAGAGCGGCGGAAAGUUUUUCAACGUUUGUUCCUGCCCUUCAGAAACAUUUUUGUUGGCGGUGCUGUUGCGAAGCUGACGAUUGGUUUUUUUUUUGUACCUGCGGAAAGGAACAAAAAUAUACCAGCCCACCCCAGCGUUGUGUUGAUCCGGAGGUUAACUGGAGGAUAUCCCAAGGUUUAAUUUUGGGAAGGGGGAAGGCUUUAUCAGGGUUUCUCUUCAGUGACCACCGGCUCUCGUUGGAGCCCCACCAACUGCCACAAUUGCGUCCAACGAUUGGAAUGGGAGUGGGAGCCCUGGAGAGGGCAGGCAGGAUGGGGGAGAUGGCUUGGAAAAAUCGUUGG